rnacentral:piRNA from 1 species
UUCCCACUGAGAGGAACGUGGCUGCAUAGU